GAUGAACGCUAGCGGCAGGCCUAAUACAUGCAGGUCGGACGGGAUUCAGGAGCUUGCUUCUGAUGAGAGUGGCGCACGGGUGCGUAACACGUAUGUAACCUACCUUUAUCAGGGGGAUAGCCUCUCGAAAGAGAGAUUAAGCCCGCAUAAAAUCACAGCACAGCAUUGUGUAAUGAUCAAAUAUUUAUAGGAUAAAGAUGGGCAUGCGGAACAUUAGCUAGAUGGCGGGGUAACGGCCCACCAUGGCGACGAUGCUUAGGGGAUCUGAGAGGAUGGCCCCCCACACUGGUACUGAGACACGGACCAGACUCCUACGGGAGGCAGCAGUAAGGAAUAUUGAUCAAUGGGCGGAAGCCUGAACCAGCCAUGCCGCGUGCAGGAAGACGGCCCUACGGGUUGUAAACUGCUUUUAUACGGGAAUAAACCCAGAUACGUGUAUCUGGCUGAAUGUACUGUAAGAAUAAGGAUCGGCUAACUCCGUG
rnacentral:rRNA from 1 species